rnacentral:rRNA from 1 species
UGGAAAGGCGCGCGAUACAGGGUGACAGCCCCGUACACAAAAGCGCAUGUGCUGUGAGCUCGAUGAGUAGGGCGGGACACGUGGUAUCCUGUCUGAAUAUGGGGGGACCAUCCUCCAAGGCUAAAUACUCCUGACUGACCGAUAGUGAACCAGUACCGUGAGGGAAAGGCGAAAAGAACCCCGGCGAGGGGAGUGAAAAAGAACCUGAAACCGUGUACGUACAAGCAGUGGGAGCCCCACCACCAAAGCAUUUGCUGUACCGCGUUGACGGAGCGAAGCGACGUCAAACCGAUAAAACAGCAGUGUAAAGUGAGCCGCAGGGCGCUUUGCGCGACAGCGCAAAGGCAGGCGGUUUCGCGUAGCGAAAGCGAAUGCUUUGGGGUGGGGUGACUGCGUACCUUUUGUAUAAUGGGUCAGCGACUUAUAUUCUGUAGCAAGGUUAACCGAAUAGGGGAGCCGGAGGGAAACCGAGUCUUAAUUGGGCGUUAAGUUGCAGGGUAUAGACCCGAAACCCGGUGAUCUAGCCAUGGGCAGGUUGAAGGUUGGGUAACACUAACUGGAGGACCGAACCGACUAAUGUUGAAAAAUUAGCGGAUGACCUGUGGCUGGGGGUGAAAGGCCAAUCAAACCGGGAGAUAGCUGGUUCUCCCCGAAAGCUAUUUAGGUAGCGCCUCGUGAAUUCAUCUCCGGGGGUAGAGCACUGUUUCGGCUAGGGGGCCAUCCCGGCUUACCAACCCGAUGCAAACUGCGAAUACCGGAGAAUGUUAUCACGGGAGACACACGGCGGGUGCUAACGUCCGUCGUGAAGAGGGAAACAACCCAGACCGCCAGCUAAGGUCCCAAAGUCAUGGUUAAGUGGGAAACGAUGUGGGAAGGCCCAGACAGCCAGGAUGUUGGCUUAGAAGCAGCCAUCAUUUAAAGAAAGCGUAAUAGCUCACUGGUCGAGUCGGCCUGCGCGGAAGAUGUAACGGGGCUAAACCAUGCACCGAAGCUGCGGCAGCGACACUGUGUGUUGUUGGGUA